GUCGAACGGCAGCAUAGGUGCUUGCACCUGAUGGCGAGUGGCGAACGGGUGAGUAAUGCAUCGGAACGUGCCCAAUCGUGGGGGAUAACGCAGCGAAAGCUGUGCUAAUACCGCAUACGAUCUACGGAUGAAAGCGGGGGACCUUCGGGCCUCGCGCGAUUGGAGCGGCCGAUGUUAGAUUAGGUAGUUGGUGGGGUAAAGGCUCACCAAGCCGACGAUCUAUAGCUGGUCUGAGAGGACGACCAGCCACACUGGAACUGAGACACGGUCCAGACUCCUACGGGAGGCAGCAGUGGGGAAUUUUGGACAAUGGGCGAAAGCCUGAUCCAGCAAUACCGCGUGCAGGAAGAAGGCCUUCGGGUUGUAAACUGCUUUUGUACGGAACGAAAAGGCUCUUUCUAAUAAAGAGGGCUCAUGACGGUACCGUAAGAAUAAGCACCGGCUAACUACGUGCCAGCAGCCGCGGUAAUACGUAGGGUGCAAGCGUUAAUCGGAAUUACUGGGCGUAAAGCGUGCGCAGGCGGUUUUGUAAGACAGGCGU
rnacentral:rRNA from 1 species